rnacentral:rRNA from 1 species
CAGUCGCCGCGGUAAGACGAACCGUGCGAACGUUAUUCGGAAUCACUGGGCUUAAAGCGCGUGUAGGCGGAUCGGCACGUCCGACACUGAAAUCCCCCGGCUUAACCGGGGAACGGGUCCGGAUACGACCGGUCUGGGGGGAGGUAGGGGGGCCUGGAACUUCGGGUGGAGCGGUGAAAUGCGUUGAGAUCCGAAGGAACGCCCGUGGCGAAAGCGAGGUCCUGGACGUUUACUGACGCUGAGACGCGAAAGCCAGGGGAGCGAACGGGAUUAGAUACCCCUGUAGUCCCUGUCUCUUAUA